UAGAGGGGCGGCGUGCUAUACAUGCAAGUCGAACGAACUCUGGUAUUGAUUGGUGCUUGCAUCAUGAUUUACAUUUGAGUGAGUGGCGAACUGGUGAGUAACACGUGGGAAACCUGCCCAGAAGCGGGGGAUAACACCUGGAAACAGAUGCUAAUACCGCAUAACAACUUGGACCGCAUGGUCCGAGCUUGAAAGAUGGCUUCGGCUAUCACUUUUGGAUGGUCCCGCGGCGUAUUAGCUAGAUGGUGGGGUAACGGCUCACCAUGGCAAUGAUACGUAAGCCGACCUCGAGAGGGUAAUCGGCCACAUUGGGACUGAGACACGGCCCAAACUCCUACGGGAGGCAGCAGUAGGGAAUCUUCCACAAUGGACGAAAGUCUGAUGGAGCAACGCCGCGUGAGUGAAGAAGGGUUUCGGCUCGUAAAACUCUGUUGUUAAAGAAGAACAUAUCUGAGAGUAACUGUUCAGGUAUUGACGGUAUUUAACCCAGAAAGCCACGGCUAACUACGUGCCAGCAGCCGCGGUAAUACGUAGGUGGCAAGCGUUGUCCGGAUUUAUUGGGCGUAAAGCGAGCGCAGGCGGUUUUUUAAGUCUGAUGUGAAAGCCUUUCGGCUCAACCGAAGAAGUGCAUCGGAAACUGGGAAACUUGAGUGCAGAAGAGGACAGUGGAACUCCAUGUGUAGCGGUGAAAUGCGUAGAUAUAUGGAAGAACACCAGUGGCGAAGGCGGCUGUCUGGUCUGUAACUGACGCUGAGGCUCGAAAGUAUGGGUAGCAAACAGGAUUAGAUACCCUGGUAGUCCAUACCGUAAACGAUGAAUGCUAAGUGUUGGAGGGUUUCCGCCCUUCAGUGCUGCAGCUAACGCAUUAAGCAUUCCGCCUGGGGAGUACGGCCGCAAGGCUGAAACUCAAAGGAAUUGACGGGGGCCCGCACAAGCGGUGGAGCAUGUGGUUUAAUUCGAAGCUACGCGAAGAACCUUACCAGGUCUUGACAUACUAUGCAAAUCUAAGAGAUUAGACGUUCCCUUUCGGGGACAUGGAUACAGGUGGUGCAUGAUUGUCGUCAGCUCGUGUCGUGAGAUGUUGGGUUAAGUCCCGCAACGAGCGCAACCCUUAUUAUCAGUUGCCAGCAUUAGGUUGGGCACUCUGGUGAGACUGCCGGUGACAA
rnacentral:rRNA from 2 species